UUAGAUCGUACCCACACUUACUUGGAUAACUGUGGUAAUUCUAGAGCUAAUACAUGCAAACAGAGCUCCGACCGGAGACGGAAGGAGCGCUUUUAUUAGAUCAAAACCGAUCGGUGGUAGAUUCGUCUGCCAUCGUACAAUUUGGUGAAUCUGAAUAACUUUAAGCUGAUCGCACGGUCUCGCACCGGCGACGCAUCUUUCAAAUGUCUGCCUUAUCAACUGUCGAUGGUAGGUUCUGCGCCUACCAUGGUUGUAACGGGUAACGGGGAAUCAGGGUUCGAUUCCGGAGAGGGAGCCUGAGAAACGGCUACCACAUCCAAGGAAGGCAGCAGGCGCGCAAAUUACCCACUCCCGGCACGGGGAGGUAGUGACGAAAAAUAACGAUACGGGACUCAUCCGAGGCCCCGUAAUCGGAAUGAGUACACUCUAAACCCUUUAACGAGGAUCAAUUGGAGGGCAAGUCUGGUGCCAGCAGCCGCGGUAAUUCCAGCUCCAAUAGCGUAUAUUAAAGUUGUUGCGGUUAAAAAGCUCGUAGUCGAAUUUGUGUCUCGCACCGCCGGUUCAUCGUUCGCGGUGUUAACUGGCGUGCCGCGGGACGUCCUGCCGGUGGGCUUAGCUCGAGAGGGCGGCCCAAAUCAAUCCUGCCGCGGUGCUCUUCAUUGAGUGUCGAGGUGGGCCGGCACGUUUACUUUGAACAAAUUAGAGUGCUUAAAGCAGGCUAAAAUUUCGCCUGAAUACUGUGUGCAUGGAAUAAUGGAAUAGGACCUCGGUUCUAUUUUGUUGGUUUUCGGAACCCCGAGGUAAUGAUUAAUAGGAACGGAUGGGGGCAUUC
rnacentral:rRNA from 1 species